CUCGGCUCACUCAUCAGAGACUGCUAUUUCCAGCUGCACUGCAAGCUCUCCCACAGUUUAAUUCUUUGCUUAUUUUUUUUAGAAAUCCUCCGUCCAAGCACCACAGUGAUGUGCCAAAAUUAUGAUGAUGACUUCACACCUCAGCGAAUUCACAUCUGCAAGGAGAGAGAACAAUUUGCAACUGAAUCCAGCCUCACUCAUGCGAUCCCCAAAUUUCUCCUUGGUUAUCAGCCACUCUGGAGACUGCUGGAGAGGUCCAGAUCCUUCUGAAGUAUGAAGGGAGGAUCCCAGGAGAAAGAGCUGAACGAGACAUAUGUGGCAAUUAGACAAUCGAUACACUUGAAUCCAAGAAGUUGACUGCUGAGUUGGAGUAGCUGCUGUGCUCUGAUCAAACCCACGUAAGUGACCAUUGGCAAACAAGAUGACAUCUUUGCAGCAGCGUGGAGCCUUGAUUUCCAGGCAGAGUAGUGAGACUGCUCCCACCAGCUCUCACAGGGCAACAUGAAAGACCCAGGAUUGGAGGGUGUUCCUACUAGGAAGUGAUCAUCUUGGGGUGUCUGUGCAGCUUUUUUCUAUAUGUAAUUUUUCAUAAUCAGCA
rnacentral:lncRNA from 1 species